GGGCUCACACAAGCGGUGGAGGAUGUGGCUUAAUUCGAGGCUACGCGAAGAACCUUACCUAGACUUAACAUGUUUGAGAAUCUCUGUGAAAGCAGAGAGUGCCUUUCGGGGAACUCUUACGUAGGUGCUGCAUGGCUGUCGUCAGCUCGUGUCGUGAGAUGUCGGGUUAAGUCCCUUAACGAGCGAAACCCUUAUCUUCAGUUGCCAGCGAGUAAUGUCGGGGACUCUGGAGAGACUGCCGGUGUUAAACCGGAGGAAGGUGGGGAUGACGUCAAGUCCUCAUGGCCUUUAUGUCUAGGGCUGCACACGUCCUACAAUGCAACGUACAAAGCGACGCGAAAUCGCGAGAUCAAGCAAACCGCACAAAACGUUGCCCAGUUCGGAUUGGAGUCUGCAACUCGACUCCAUGAAGCUGGAGUCGCUAGUAA
rnacentral:rRNA from 1 species